UUGACCUUUGACCUUGUGACCUUUGUCAAGGUCAUUGGUCCCAAAUGUCAUUGUUGAAGACCCCACGGAUCUAGGACCUUUGGUUAUAUAGUAAAAGCUGAUUUUGUCUUUUCAGAAACCUAAAACAGGGGUUAUGCCCUUACAGAAAGGUCAAAUCUCUUCGGUCAAAAUGUAACAAAGUUGCGCCUUAAUGACCUAAACAUUUUCCACUAUACAAAACUACUGUAAGUAUAAUGGUUUCUGAGAUUAUCCCAUAACAAGGUGUAAGGUCAAAGGUCAAGGUCAACAUACAAAUUUGACCUUGAGGCAUUUUCAAAGUCACAUGAAUUGAUGAUGAUUGGUGAAGAUCCUAUGUGUUUACGACUUACGGUUUCUGAGUAUUGGUGGCCAACCGACACCGGUUAAUUUUCAAAGGGGCAUAACCCUACCAAUGAGUCGUUGAAUCUUUUCGAUCCAAAUGUAACGAAGAACCAGAGUCUGGUCCUGAACAAAUUUCACCCUUUGCUUUUUUUCUACCUAUUACGGUUACGGUGUUUGAAUGAUAACAAGGUUUUUAGGUUUCGGAGGGAUAACUCCGGACCGACAAAAUUUUACGACUCACAGGGUGAGUUCCAGAUAGAUAUUUGUGACACCGAUACAAAGUGUGAACCUGAAAGCGACAUGGCUUACGGUUACGGAGGGAAAUUUUGUCAAAGUUUGGCGGAACAAAAAGAAUAAUAAUUAAAAUGUCAAUUGUUCUUGAACAAUUGAGAGGUCUUUCCUUUUGUAAUGUAAAAUACAUGUUCCAAUAGACGUAGAAUGUAUUGAAAAGUUCUAAAACACACAAAAAACCGUUAAAAUAUGAUAAAAAUCAACAAAUUCGCUUUUUAGGAGAUGACCU